rnacentral:rRNA from 1 species
UACGGAGGGUGCAAGCGUUGCUCGGAAUUACUGGGCGUAAAGGGCGUGUAGGCGGUUUCGUAUGUCUGGCGUGAAAGCCCCGGGCUCACCUCGGGAAGUGCGUCGGAAACUGCGAGACUAGAGUCCCGGAGAGGGAGUUGGAAUUCCAGGUGUAGCGGCGAAGUGCGUAGAUAUCUGGAAGAACACUGGUGGCGAAGGCGGCCUCCUGGACGGUGACUGACGCUGAGACGCGAAAGCGUGGGGAGCAAACAGG